UGUAUGGCUUGAGUAUGAGAGAGGUGAGUGGAAUUCCCAGUGUAGAGGUGAAAUUCGUAGAUAUUGNGAAGAACACCGGUGGCGAAGGCGGCUCACUGGCUCAUUANUGACGCUCAGGCGCGACAGCGUGGGGAUCAAACAGGAUUAGAUACCUUGGUAGUUCACGCCGUAAACUAUGGACGCUAGCCGUUGGGCAGCUUNCUGCUCAGUGGCGCAGCUAACGCAUUAAGCGUCCCNCCUGGGGAGUACGGCCGCAAGGUUGANACUCAAAGGAAUUGACGGGGGCCCGCACAAGCGGUGGAGCAUGUGGUUUAAUUCGACGCAACGCGCAGAACCUUACCAGGGUUUGACAUCCUGAGACCGCCGGUGAAAGCCGGUUUUCCCGCAAGGGACUCAGAGACAGGUGCUGCAUGGCUGUCGUCAGCUCGUGUCGUGAGAUGUUGGGUUAAGUCCCGCAACGAGCGCAACCCUCGCCUUUAGUUGCCAUCAUUAAGUUGGGCACUCUAGAGGGACCGCCGGCGACAAGCCGGAGGAAGGUGGGGAUGACGUCAAGUCCUCAUGGCCCUUACACCCUGGGCUACACACGUGCUACAAUGGCGGUGACAGUGAGCAGCUAGUUCGCGAGAACGUGCUAAUCUCAAAAAACCGUCCCAGUUCAGAUUGCACUCUGCAACUCGAGUGCAUGAAGGUGGAAUCGNUAGUAAUCGCAGAACAGCAGGCUGCGGUGAAUACGUUCCCGGGCCUUGUACACACCGCCCGUCACACCAUGGGAGUUGGUUCUACCUGAAGACGGUGCGCUAACCGCAAGGAGGCAGCCGGCCACGGUAGGGUCAGCGACUGGGGUGAAGUCGUAACAAGGUAGCC
rnacentral:rRNA from 1 species